CACAGAGUUAGCCGAUGCUUAUUCCCCGGAUACCGUCAUUGCUUCUUCUCCGGGAAAAGAAGUUCAUGACCUGUAGGCCUCCUACCUUCACGCGGCAUUGCUCCGUCAGGCUUUCGCCCAUUGCGGAAAAUUCCCCACUGCUGCCUCCCGUAGGAGUCUGGGCCGUGUCUCAGUCCCAGUGUGGCUGAUCAUCCUCUCGGACCAGCUACUGAUCAUCGCUUGGUAAGCUAUUGCCUCACCAACUAGCUAAUCAGACGCGACGCCCCUCCGUCGGGCGGACUUUCCUCCUUUUCGCUCCUCACGCCGUACGGGGUAUUAGCAGUCCGUUUCCAGUCUUGUUCCGUUCCCCCUACCCGUAAGGGUACGGUUUCUUACGUCGUUUACCUCACCCCGUCCGCCACGUACGGAAACCACCC
rnacentral:rRNA from 1 species